AGUGAACGCUGGCGGUAGGCCUAACACAUGCAAGUCGAACGGCAGCACAGUAAGAGCUUGCUCUUACGGGUGGCGAGUGGCGGACGGGUGAGGAAUACAUCCGAAUCUACUUUUUCGUGGGGGAUGACGUAGGGAAACUUACGCUAAUACCGCAUACGACCUACGGGUGAAAGCAGGGGAUCUUCGGACCUUGCGCGAUUGAAUGAGCCGAUGUCGGAUUAGCUAGUUGGCGGGGUAAAGGCCCACCAAGGCGACGAUCCGUAGCUGGUCUGAGAGGAUGAUCAGCCACACUGGAACUGAGACACGGUCCAGACUCCUACGAGAGGCAGCAGAGGGGAAUAUUGGACAAUGGGCGCAAGCCUGAUCCAGCCAUACCGCGUGGGUGAAGAAGGCCUUCGGGUUGUAAAGCCCUUUUGUUGGGAAAGAAAAGCAGCAGGUUAAUACCCCGCUGUUCUGACGGUACCCAAAGAAUAAGCACCGGCUAACUUCGUG
rnacentral:rRNA from 1 species